CCCUCACCCCACUUCUGGGAGAGUGAGUGAAUGUCUGAGUGCUGCUGAGCUGCUGCAGGUUUAAAUCACAACAGAAGGUUAAUAUGUCCUCAGUGUGCUGGAUAGAACUUUUCUUGAGAUGGCAGCAGAAGGCCAGUCUGACAAAAUGGUAUCUGACAUGGAAAUGCGGUGAAGCAAAGGUGUGUCAUUGAAUUUCUUCAUGUGGAAAAAAAUCGCGCUUAUUGGCAUUCACUUAUGCUUGCUGGAUUGUUUAUGGAGACCAAAGAGUGUAUGUGAGCACUGCUUUUCUUCAGAGGAGACAUCAAAGUUAAAGACAAGUAAACCUAUUACAGAGGAGUAGCAGAGAUGUACUACCAAAAGACUAUCAAUUCAUUAUAGGGACUUGUCAAGAACCUGCAGGAGCUGAGCUGGUGACAGGAUGCCAGCAGCUUCCCACCUCAAAACAAGUGCAAACAACUGCAAGAUGGGAGUGGAGUAAGUGGACCAUGGGUCACAUGAGCCCUACAUCUGGGAUGAGGACUACACACAUCUGAAUGCUGGAGUUUCUGACAGACUAUUUUCUUACACCCUGCUGAAGAACACAGUAAUAAGAGAAUCAACUGGCCAGUAGCAAUCAUCUUGAAUAUUUUGAAAGGAUAUGCAUGCUUUCUAGUUCUCUUUUUUUUCCCCCAACAUAUUUCUAUGUGGACUCUGUGAAAGCAAUGGAUACAACUCCAGUUUUUGGAAAUUACCAUGAAGAGAAAAAAAAAACAAAAACAAAAACAACCACGUUAUUUCAAAUGUAUAUGGUUGAUAUAAAAGAGAUAUAGAUUUGAAUACAUACGUCAAAAAACUGAGGCUGAUUAAAGGUUUGGACUUCAAUGUAUAACAAUUUAUAACUUGAUUUUAAGACUGUUGGGU